UUCCGGUUGAUCCUGCCGGACCUGACUGCUAUCGGAUUGAUACUAAGCCAUGCGAGUUUUUGCAGUAAUGCAAGGCAUACGGCUCAGUAACACGUAGUCAACUUACCCUAUGGACGAGGAUAAUCUCGGGAAACUGAGCAUAAUACUCGAUAGAUCAUAAUGCCUGGAAUGGUUUAUGGUUGAAACGAUUCGUCGCCAUAGGAUAGGACCGCGGCCUAUCAGCUUGUUGGUGAGGUAAUGGCCCACCAAGGCGAUUACAGGUACGGGCUCUGAGAGGAGAAGCCCGGAGAUGGGUACUGAGACAAGGACCCAGGCCCUAUGGGGCGCAGCAGGCGAGAAAACUUUGCAAUGUGCGAAAGCACGACAAGGUUAAUCCGAGUGAUUUCUGCUAAAGAAAUCUUUUGCAAGUCAUAAAACCACUAGUGAAUAAGGGGUGGGCAAGUUCUGGUGUCAGCCGCCGCGGUAAAACCAGCACCUCAAGUGGUCAGGAGGAUUAUUGGGCCUAAAGCAUCCGUAGCCGGCUCUGUAAGUUUUCGGUUAAAUCCAUGUGCUCAACGCAUGGGCUGUCGAAAAUACUGCAUAGCUAGGGAGUGGGAGAGGUAGACGGUACUCGGUAGGAAGGGGUAAAAUCCUUUGAUCUAUCGAUGACCACCUGUGGCGAAGGCGGUCUACCAGAACACGUUCGACGGUGAGGGAUGAAAGCUGGGGGAGCAAACCGGAUUAGAUACCCGGGUAGUCCCAGCUGUAAACGAUGCAGACUCGAUGAUGUAUUGGCAUAUAGCCAGUGCAGUGUCGCAGGAAGCCGUUAAGUCUGCCGCCUGGGAAGUACGUACGCAAGUAUGAAACUUAAAGGAAUUGGCGGGGGAGCACCACAAGGGUGAAGCCUGCGGUUCAUUGGAUUCACGCCGGAA
rnacentral:rRNA from 1 species